rnacentral:rRNA from 1 species
GAUGAACGCUGGCGGCGUGCCUAAUACAUGCAAGUCGAGCGAAUGGAUUAAGAGCUUGCUCUUAUGAAGUUAGCGGCGGACGGGUGAGUAACACGUGGGUAACCUGCCCAUAAGACUGGGAUAACUCCGGGAAACCGGGGCUAAUACCGGAUAACAUUUUGAACCGCAUGGUUCGAAAUUGAAAGGCGGCUUAGGCUGUCACUUAUGGAUGGACCCGCGUCGCAUAAGCUAGUUGGGGAGGUAACGGCUCACCAAGGCACCGAUGCGUAGCCGACCUGAGAGGGUGAUCGGCCACACUGGGACUGAGACACGGCCCAGACUCCUACGGGAGGCAGCAGUAGGGAAUCUUCCGCAAUGGACGAAAGUCUGACGGAGCAACGCCGCGUGAGUGAUGAAGGCUUUCGGGUCGUAAAACUCUGUUGUUAGGGAAGAACAAGUGCUAGUUGAAUAAGCUGGCACCUUGACGGUACCUAACCAGAAAGCCACGGCUAACUACGUGCCAGCAGCCGCGGUAA